AUGUAUCAUGAGGUAAAAGGAGAAGGUCAAAAGAGAAGGUUAGAGAGAAUGUUGCUAGCAUUCCCCUUCUUCACGCAGAGGCCACACCAGUUAUCCAAUAUCAGCUUUGAUAAAAUUAAGGAUUGUGAUUUACAUGACGGUGAUUGGGGAAAAGUCGGCUCUGUCGUCAACUGGAAUUAUAUCCACAAUGGGAAAGGUAAGGUUGCUAAGGUGGUAUUUGAAGCCAUAGACGAUGAAUAGAACUCAAUCACUCUGAGAGUUGUAGAAGGAGAUCUUCUGGAGCAUUACAAGAGCUUCAAGAUCACAAUUCAAGCAACUCCAAAAGGGGAGGGCAGCGUAGUGCAUUGGACUUUUGAAUAUGAAAAGGUGCAUGGCGAUGUCACAGACCCACAUACGCUGCUCCAGUUGGCAGUUGAUCUCACUACAGAUAUUAGUGCCUUACUGCCUAAGAUUGCAUAAAACGCCUAAGGCUCCCAAUCUGUGUGUUGUUGGGUGUUACUCUAUCUGAAAUGCACACGUAUAAAUAAGUGAUUUGGAGCCAUCAUCAUAUUGCAAUUCGUGUUUCCUAUCAAUCAUAUGUUUGUAUGUUAUAAUUGGGGUUAUGCCCUAAUUACUGGCUUUUAUAUAUAUGUACGUCCUCCUAUCAAAUUAUUAUUAUUAAUAAAUGAAUGAUAUGUG